rnacentral:rRNA from 1 species
UGGGGAAUUUUGGACAAUGGGGGAAACCCUGAUCCAGCCAUCCCGCGUGUGCGAUGAAGGCCUUCGGGUUGUAAAGCACUUUUGGCAGGAAAGAAACGUCGCGGGUUAAUACCCCGCGAAACUGACGGUACCUGCAGAAUAAGCACCGGCUAACUACGUGCCAGCAGCCGCGGUAAUACGUAGGGUGCAAGCGUUAAUCGGAAUUACUGGGCGUAAAGCGUGCGCAGGCGGUUCGGAAAGAAAGAUGUGAAAUCCCCAGAGCUUAACUUUGGAACUGCAUUUUUAACUACCGGGCUAGAGUGUGUCAGAGGGAGGUGGAAUUCCGCGUGUAGCAGUGAAAUGCGUAGAUAUGCGGAGGAACACCGAUGGCGAAGGCAGCCUCCUGGGAUAACACUGACGCUCAUGCACGAAAAGCGUGGGGAGCAAAACAGGAUUAGAUACCCUGGUAGUCCACGCCCUAAACGAUGUCAACUAGCUGUUGGGGGCCUUCGGGCCUUGGUAGCGCAGCUAACGCGUGAAGUUGACCGCCUGGGGAGUACGGUCGCAAGAUUAAAAACUUAAAGGAAUUGACGGGGGUCAUAGCU